GAUUAACGCUGGCGGCGUGCAUAACACAUGCAAGUCGAACGAUGAAACUUAAAUGAUUUCUUCGGAAUCAACUUAAGUGGAUUAGUGGCGGACGGGUGAGUAACGCGUGAGUAACCUGCCUUACACAAGGGGAUAGCCGUUGGAAACGACGAAUAAUACCCUAUGAUGUUUCUAUCUCGCAUGAGAUAUUAACCAAAGUGUUAGCGGUGUAAGAUGGACUUGCGUCUGAUUAGCUAGUUGGUGAGAAAAAAGCCCACCAAGGCAACGAUCAGUAGCCGGCUUGAGAGAGUGUACGGCCACAUUGGGACUGAGACACGGCCCAGACUCCUACGGGAGGCAGCAGUGGGGAAUUUUGCACAAUGGGGGAAACCCUGAUGCAGCGACGCCGCGUGAUUUAGAAGGCCUUCGGGUUGUAAAAAUCUUUUGUAUAGGAAGAAAAUGACAGUACUAUACGAAUAAGGUCCGGCUAAUUACGUG
rnacentral:rRNA from 1 species